AGAAGAGACUGCAAGACUUGAGAUCGGGUGAGGUUAAACGUACUUUCAGGGUAGGGGUAAAAUCCUGUAAUCCCGGAAGGACGACCAGUGGCGAAAGCGUUUAACUAGAACGAAUCUGACGGUAAGGAACGAAGGCUAGGGUAGCAAACCGGAUUAGAUACCCGGGUAGUCCUAGCUGUAAACAUUGCCCAUUUGAUGUCGCUUUCCCGUUGAGGGAAGGCAGUGUCGGAGCGAAGGUGUUAAAUGGGCCGCUUGGGAAGUAUGGUCGCAAGACUGAAACUUAAAGGAAUUGGCGGGGGAGCACCGCAACGGGAGGAAUGUGCGGUUUAAUUGGAUUCAACGCCGGAAAACUCACCGGGAACGACCUGUGCAUGAGAGUCAACUUGACGAGCUUACUCGAUAGCAGGAGAGGUGGUGCAUGGCCGUCGUCAGCUCGUACCGUAGGGCGUUCACUUAAGUGUGAUAACGAGCGAGACCCACAUCUUUAAUUGCAAAUGUAUAUGGGAAUAUGCAUGCACUUUAGAGAAACCGCCAGCGCUAAGCUGGAGGAAGGAGUGGUCGACGGCAGGUCAGUACGCCCCGAAUUUCCCGGGCUACACGCGCAUUACAAAGAACGGGACAAUACGUUGCAACCUCGAAAGAGGGAGCCAAUCGC
rnacentral:rRNA from 1 species